UCCGUAGGUGAACCUGCGGAAGGAUCAUUACCAAUCCACCUUUACAAACCACUGUGAACCGUUCCUGUCCUUGGGUGGCAGGAGGAUGCACUUUCAGUGUGUCUAAUCGUCACCCAAACUUUACAAAACCACUUAUAUUAACCUCUCCUGUUGAAACCUUCUUUGCGGCUAUCUUAUGGCCCAAAGAUCAUAAUAAACAAAUACAACUUUUAACGGUGGAUCUCUUGGCUCAUGCAUCGAUGAAGAACGCAGCGAAAUGCGAUACGUAAUGUGAAUUGCAGAAUUCAGUGAAUCAUCGAAUCUUUGAACGCAAAUUGCGCUCCAUGGCACUCCGUGGAGCAUACCUGGUUGAGUAUCAUUAAACCACCUCAUCCAAUUCACCUUGGGUGGAUAUGAGGGUCUCAGCUUCGUCGGAAACUGCGUCCCUUUAAGUACAGAGAUGUGCGCCAUAAAGCUUAUGUCGUACAAAUGAUGCGGUAAUUGUGUUCCACAUUCACUCAUCAUUUGACAUAAGAGUUGUGCCUGCAUCCAAUUCCUCUCUUUGAGAGGAAUCAUUGGGGAAAAUUC
rnacentral:rRNA from 1 species